rnacentral:rRNA from 1 species
GUGGGGAAUUGUUCGCAAUGGGCGCAAGCCUGACGACGCAACGCCGCGUGGAGGAUGAAGAUCUUCGGGUCGUAAACUCCUUUCGAUCGAGACGAAUGAUCUCCGGGUGAACAAUCCGGAGAAAUGACGGUACCGAGAGAAGAAGCCCCGGCUAACUCCGUGCCAGCAGCCGCGGUAAUACGGGGGGGGCAAGCGUUGUUCGGAAUUACUGGGCGUAAAGGGCUUGUAGGUGGCCAACUAAGUCAGACGUGAAAUCCCUCGGCUUAACCGGGGAACUGCGUCUGAUACUGGAUGGCUAGAGUGUGGGAGAGGGAUGCGGAAUUCCAGGUGUAGCGGUGAAAUGCGUAGAUAUCUGGAGGAACACCGGUGGCGAAGGCGGCAUCCUGGACCAUUACUGACACUGAAAAGCGAAAGCCAGGGGAGCAAACGGGAUUAGAUACCCUUGUAGUCC